UAUGCGUUAUGCUUGUUCUUAUUUUAUUA
rnacentral:piRNA from 1 species